rnacentral:lncRNA from 1 species
GCUGAGUGCUGUGGAUUCAGAGCUAAAAGCCAGUGAGCUCAGCCUGGAGAGGACACUGAUACUCAAGCAGCCCCUAGUGCGGGCAAGUCCCUUAGCAGCUCUUACACUGCAUACCUGUGUCUGAGUACUCCUUUCAUCCAUCGCUCAGCCAGGGUGUGUGGGACAGACCUGGCAGCUGGUGCCUGCUGUGAGAAACACUACAACGGAUUGCAAUGGAACCCUCAAAAAUGAGGGUGAAGAGUCUGCGCCGUCCGAUGCAAAGCUGGAAAACGAGCUGUAGCCGCUACACCUGACAAACCCGUUGCUGCACAUAUAUGUACUCUUCAAUCAACAAGACCUGAUGCAAAAAACAGAAAAGGGGAAGAUGUGAGGGAUCAGUCAGAGUGGUGGGCUCAAGAGUGGACUUAAUGAGGGCUGUCUCAAGGUUCUGUAAUAAAUAAACAGAGUAAGCAGUCACUAACAAUAUUGAUAUGCUGAGUGGAAAAGGUUUCUACGGCUAAUAUUAGGGCUCCAACCUCAGCUCUUUGAGUGCUAGUAAAUCCAGAUAGAGUGAGGGAGUUAUGUGGUUCCCACCAGACAGCUGCUUUUCCAUUUUUACCAGAGCCAUCGGUAAAAAGCAUUAAAGCGUUAGGUAUGGGGGUGUGAACUACCUUUGUAGGCAUAGCUACAGGAAUAUGAGAUAAGAACUGAAGUAGUUUGUCAGCAGGAAGGCCAUGUUCUAUACAGCCCGCAUAAUCAGAGAGUGCUAUCCUGAGGGUCUAGAGGUAGGAGCAGGACUGCUUUGAAUUGUUUUUUACUUAAGGGAAUUCUUAUGACAUCAGGGUCAUAACCUAGCAAUUAUUUGCAUCAUCUGCAGCCUGUAUAGAUGACUUUACUAACUAGCUGGACAUAGCGAGAUAGUGUUUUGGUCCCGGUAUAUGAGCAAAAAACCCACUCUAGGAAGCGUAGCCCUGGGGCCAUCUGUCCUGUUAAUUCUGUUGGGGAAUGAUUAGUAGGAAAAACAAACAAUUGGAAUGAAUAUCGUGGGUCUAUGCAAUCUAGUUGCCUCUGAGAAAUAGCUUGCUCUGUUUCCUGUAUGAAACCCACUUGAUCGUGGUGGAUUAUCUUUUUGAUACCACCUGUUCCCCAAUAACCUAUGGAAAUCAAAAAAAAUUUUUUAAAAUAAAGAACAGUAUCUGGCACACAGCAGGAGUUCAAUAAAUAUUUAAGAAAAGAAAAACUUUUUGUGUAACCAAACACCACCUGUUCCCCAAAAACCUUUUGAAAUAAAAAAAUAAAAUUUUAAAAAAGAUUACAUUAUUAAAAAAUAAAUAAAUAAAAAAGAAGACUGGGUGCGGGGGCUCAUGUCUGUAAUCCCAGCACUUUGGGAGGCCGAAGCAGGUAGACCGCUUGAGCCCAGGAGUUUAAGACCAGCCUGAGCAGCAUGGUGAGACCCCAUCUCUACAAAAAAUACAAAAAAAUUGGCUGGGCAUGCUGGCACAUGCCUCUGAUCCCAGCUACUCAGGAGGCUGAGGUGAGAGGACCACUUGAGCACAGGAAGUCAAGGCUGCAGUGAGCCACAAACGUGCCACUGCAUUCCAGCCUGGGUGACAGAAUGAGACCCUGUCUCAAAUGAGUUUUUAAAAAGAGGUAAAAUCAAUAUAUUUUAUAAAUUUAAUUAUGGGUUAGCCCAAUUUCUGAAAUUAAAGUUUCAGCUAAUGGGAUUUUCAAUGUACAUAGCUUUUGUGAUUAACUUAGAUUAUUCUAAUAGCUAAAAAUAUCCACUAGUGUAGCUAACCAUGUAUUGGGGAAUCUAAGCUUGUAUAAUUUACACAUGAAUUAGGUAUAUAUUUUAUCAAAACUAUACAAUGUUGAGUCCCUCCUUGCCAAUGGGUAACACAGUGCUUAAUGACACUUUAGCCAGUCUAUAAUUUUUCUUUCUUUUGUUAUUAACAGUCUUAUUUUGGCAUUUAGGCCCCAAUCUUGACCAACUAAAAUAAAAAUAAAAACAAAUCCUUUAAUCUCAAAUUCAAUUCACUACUCAUUUCCUUCCUUUCUCCAUCUGGGUCCAUAUUAUUUUCUCCAGUAUCUCUAAGAUACUGAGGAUGUACCAAGGAUAGCGCACAGAUCAUAGUGGGUGUGGGAAUCUUUUAUCUGAGUCACCUCUUCCCCUUCUCUCUUAUAAACUCUAGCUCCCACCAGUUGGGAGCAGGGAAGAAGGAUAACAAAGGCAAAAGUGGUUUAGCUGUGAUUCCAGACAGCUUCACCCUUUGCUGGUGGGCUAUACCCAUAUGGUCUUCACUGUAUGAGGGGCAUGUACAAUUUUUGGGGUGGGUGCUGUAUUCAGCUUCACUCCAGCCCCUCUGUAGCUGAAGACCCUGUUAAACUCUACUAAUGUCCUUAGCACUACCAGCAAU